UACGGAGGGUGCAAGCGUUAUCCGGAUUCACUGGGUUUAAAGGGUGCGUAGGUGGGUCUGUAAGUCUGUGGUGAAAUCUCUGAGCUUAACUCGGAAACUGCCAUGGAUACUAUAGAUCUUGAAUACCGUGGAGGAUAGCGGAAUAUGUCAUGUAGCGGUGAAAUGCUUAGAUAUGACAUAGAACACCAAUUGCGAAGGCAGCUGUCUACCCAGAUAUUGACACUGAGGCACGAAAGCGUGGGGAGCAAACAGG
rnacentral:rRNA from 1 species